GUUGUCAUGGGAGCUGUGGAAUCGUGUCUAUGAAGGUGCCUGUGGAAAAACAAGCGGCCAUUGCAUCACAGGCAGUCGUAUAUGGUGAUGCUGGGAUAAAAAUAACAGCCAUGGCUGAGCCAACACAUGAUUUCAACGCAACUAAUCUUGUUUUGCCCCAGGUCAGUUCCAUUUUCACCUUGCUACUGUCAGGAUCGAGCGCGCAAUCUGUCACGCGAUUAAAUCGGAGUGAAAUUUAUUUGAGUAAAUCAGUAUUAUUUUUUAGUCUUUUCUUCGUUUGUAAUCACACGAGACAAGAGAUCGCAAAUUAUUUUUCUAAUAUCGUCUGUUCUCACCCAAGAUAGCACAAAAUAUUUAUAAAAUAUUAACUAAUUCUCAUACGAAUGUAAAAAUAAACCAAAAGGACACAAAAUUUAAUCGUUCUUGUGCAAAUCGCCAGCAAAAAAGACAAUUUCAAGGAAA